rnacentral:rRNA from 1 species
CUGCUCAAUGAUUUUUUAUAUUGCUGUGGUAUUUUGACUAUACGAAGGUAUUGAAAUAAGAUUUUAAAUGAGUGCUAAGAGAAUGAUUGAACAAUUAUAGGCUUUCUUUAAUUAAAUAAUUAAAUUUAAUUUUUUUAGUGCAAAAGCAAAAAUUAAAUUUAGGGAAAAGAAGACCCUAUGAAUUUUAAUUUUAUUUAUAAUUUGAAAUUUUAAAUUAAAUUUGAUUGGGGCGAUGGAAAAAGAAUGAGUAUCUUUUUUAGUUUUAAAAAUUAGUUCAGUUUUUAACGAUUAAAUGAGAAAAAUACUCUAUGGAGAACAGCGUAAUAAUUUUGGAUAGUUCUUAUAGAUAAAAUAGUUUGCGACCUCGAUGUUGGAUUAGGAUUCUUUCUUGGCGAAGAAGUUAAGAAAAAGAAGU